AUUGAACGCUGGCGGCAGGCCUAACACAUGCAAGUCGAGCGGAGCGGCGGACGGGUGAGUAAUGCCUAGGUAUCUGCCUGGUAGUGGGGGAUAACGUCCGGAAACGGGCGCUAAUACCGCAUACUAUCAGAUGAGCCUAGGUCGGAUUAGCUAGUGGGUGGGGUAAAGGCCUACCAAGCCGACGAUCUGUAACUGGUCUGAGAGGAUGAUCAGCCACAAUGGAACUGAUACACGGUCCAGACUCCUACGGGAGGCAGCAGUGGGGAAUAUUGCACAAUGGGCGCAAGCCUGAGGCAGCCAUGCCGCGUGUAUGAAGAAGGCCUUCGGGUUGUAAAGUACUUUCAGCGGGGAGGCGUUACCCGCAGAAGAAGCACCGGCUAACUCCGUGCCAGCCGCCGCGGUAAUUC
rnacentral:rRNA from 1 species